CCAACAGGGAUUGCCCUAGUAACGGCGAGUGAAGCGGCAACAGCUCAAAUUUGAAAUCUGGNUCUCGGGCCCGAGUUGUAAUUUGUAGAGGAUACUUUUGAUGCGGUGCCUUCCGAGUUCCCUGGAACGGGACGCCAUAGAGGGUGAGAGCCCCGUCUGGUUGGAUGCCAAAUCUCUGUAAAGUUCCUUCGACGAGUCGAGUAGUUUGGGAAUGCUGCUCUAAAUGGGAGGUAUAUGUCUUCUAAAGCUAAAUACCGGCCAGAGACCGAUAGCGCACAAGUAGAGUGAUCGAAAGAUGAAAAGCACUUUGAAAAGAGAGUUAAAAAGUACGUGAAAUUGUUGAAAGGGAAGCGUUUAUGACCAGACUUGGGCUUGGUUAAUCAUCUGGGGUUCUCCCAGUGCACUUUUCCAGUCCAG
rnacentral:rRNA from 1 species